CCUAGAAUGACUGGAACUAGCA
rnacentral:siRNA from 1 species